rnacentral:lncRNA from 1 species
CUAUCUUCAUUAAUCUUAAUUUCCAUGGAUCAAACACAUGAUAACAUUUGGACGGAGGAGUCUUCAAAUAAUAAGUCCACAUUGACAAUAAAAGAGGAAUAUGAUGGCACAACAACCAUGCUCCUAGAAAGUGGUAUUGUCUAAUUAGAACUUGGUUAAACCGAAUCCUCCUUACUCCUCUUAAACAACACGAUCCGAUAGUAAUCUUUGUUAUAUCGUGUUGAAUAGUCAUAACAACUAUAUUGAGUUACGAGACUUCCACGCAUCUUGUGAUACACAAUUGCGAAGAUGAAAUAAUGCACAAUUGUGAAUCCAUUCUGACCUAUGAAUUCGCUAUGAAAAAAUUGUUGUUCCAUUUUAAACCCGGAUCUUGC